CCUUAGGUCAAAAGUGUACUUUGAGAUUGGUUCUCAUGUAGCCCAGGCUGGCCUUGAGCAUGACAAGCUCUAGAGAAUGAUCUUCUGCCACCUCCAGAGUCCUGAGAUUACAGGCAUCUGCCACCAUUUAUAUGGAGGCAAGGAUUGGCCCCGGGGUCUCAUGCAUAGUAGGUGAACUCAGUACCAACCGAGUCAUGUCCCCCAGUCCUCCUUCAAGCAGCACUUUAAUAUGUGUUUUCCCUUUUUUCACAAUGCAUCUAUGCAGUUUGGGAAUUGGUUUGUUUAGUGUGUUUUAAACAUUUCAUGAAGGUGUGUUCUUGUUUCUGUUUUUCAAUAGGGCCUUAGCUCUGCAGCCAAGUUGGCUUCAAACUCAGGAUCCCCCAACUUGGCCUCCUGAGUGCUGAGAUUACAGGCAGACUACCAUCUCUCAGUGCGCUCUUGCUGUCUUUGUGCUAUUUUCCUUGUCUCACAUGUUUUUAGUUGUUAUCUUACUUGGGAGGGCGGUGGGUUUUUUCGAGACAGGGUUUCUCUGUGUAGCCCUGGCUGUCCUAGAACCCACUCUGUAGACCAGGCUGGCCUCGAACUCAGAAAUCCACCUGCCACUGUUAUCUUACUUUUUUUUGUAAAGGUAAUAAGUUUAUCUGAAAAUGCAUCCUGUUGAGUUCAAACAAGGUGUUUCCAAUGCAGAGAAUAUCCUGUGAAGAGGUGACUGUGAGAGCAUUAGAGAGGAGCUGGUGCUGUCUGUUUACCCAGUGUCCAAGCACCUGCAGGCCUUCCAUGGUAGGAAUGUCAGGAAGGAAGUAGGCAUGUCUGGGUGGAAACUUGCCUGAGAGAAAAGUCCCAUUCUCUGACAGAAGGUGGGAACAUCUUUUAGGAGAGAAAAGUAGACUAGUACGAAGCAGGAACUGUACUGCUCUUAUCCUUUGAAGGUCAGCCUGCAGCAUCUGGGGUUGCUCAGGGCUUUGCAGACUCUUCCUUAGGUUUCUUAGAGUCUGAGAAAGGUCAUGCAUGCAUCAGGAUGGUGGGGCUUGCACUCUUAAGGGUCUAUUAAAGAUUUCCUUGGGAAAGAUUUUUUUUUCCUCUUACUUUCCCAUCAUUAUUUCUGUUGAGAAGAUAGAUUUUUGAAAAGGCAUUAUUGUUGUUGUUUUGGAGGGGAUAUCAUGUGGAAGAAGUUGCUGGCCUGCCUUAGGUUGAUUGAUCUAGGGAGCAGCUGUCACCUCUUGUGAGUCCUGCUGUUUUCCUGCUAUCCUGCGUCCGUCCCUGCCUCCAGCUUAUCUCAUUCUCUCCCAGACUCACUAACAUAGCAUCUUAGUGAGUGCUCUCUCAUCUUGCCAGCUGCUUUCCACACUGCUGUGGUGUCUUUGUAACGUCAGUGGAUCCCAUAUCAACUUCCCCCCAUCAGUGUUCUCCAUCAUCCUGGACAAAGGUGAAUGCUAUUGCAUGCAGAGUCUGGUGUUGUCUAGCCUUGCCUUUUAAUGUUUUCUUCAGCUCAUGAUCAGAAUUGCUACCAUUCCUCAAAAAUCUUCCCUGGAACCCUCUCUGGUCUGUCCUCCAAACCAGAGCCCAGCUGAACUGUGUGUCUGUGUGCCCUGCACCUUUCUUGACAAGCACUCUAUGCACCGGACCCUGAUUGUUUGCUUCCUCAGUAGACCCUAAGUUCCUCAGGGGGAGACACUGGGUCUUCAGCAUUGUUUCUUUCAAGCCAAGUGCACAAGACUCUAGUAAAUGGUUAUAAAUGAAUGAAUAGUGUAAAACACUCAAAAGACCCCAUCCCUCAACAGCUCUAUUUAGCCAUGGAAAUGUGGAAUGUGUACAUAGAAAAGGAGAGAUGCAUAUAAUACUAAGGUCCUAAACAAGCUUUCAGUAUCUGGAUGGGAACAAAUGCCCUAUGUCUUUGGUAUGGGGUUAAGGGAAGAGUACAUGUGACUUCUAGCUACCAGCCAGCAGAAUGAAAGGCAGGAGUCAGCCUAGAAAGGCUGGUAGGAAAAUUGAUGUCUUUCAGGUGGAAGCUAACAACAGAGUUUCCAGUACAUCUUCCCCACACUGGAAAAAGAAAGCAACAAAAUACUGUGUUUCCUCUGUCAUGGUGCCAUCUACGGUCACAGUGGUUCUUCUCAAACCACAGUUAAGCCUGUCUAGAACCAUCUUCACAGAUGUACCCUGAGACCUGUCUUCUAGGUGAUAGUAAACCCAGUCAAGCUAACAAUGAAGGUAAACAAUCAUACUGUCUGUCCAAAGUAUUUGUGACAUACCCACCAAAGGUCCUUUAAAGGUGAAAGGGCAUAGUGUUAUAAAAGAGAUCAGUAAAGCCCCAGGGGAGGGUUCAGGGUAACUGAGCCUGUGAAUUGUAGUUUGCUCUUCACAGCUCUCUGAGAGGUCUAGUGGAGUCCCAAUCACCUGAAGUGGGCCCCAAGUUACUAUAGCCAGCCUCUGUGGUGUUGAGUCCCAUUCCUACAGCUCCAUCCUUCUAAAUACAUAGGCAGUGGCAACAAGCAUGAGUAGUGGGGACAAGUAGCUAUUUCAGCAAAGUACCAAAUUCACCCUUGGCUUUACAUCUUACCUCCAUGUAAAAGAAUCAAAACAAGGAUCCUUACUUCUCAUCUGUCAGUGUUGGAGUCUAGGCUAGCUUCAGUGUAUCAUCCCCUCAGUAGCACACUCCUGCACCGGGUCUCACAAAAUCUUGAGCAAUAGCUGUCCAUGUAUCAUCCCCUCAGUAGCACACUCCUGCACUGGGUCUCACAUAAUCUUGAGCAAUAGCUGUCCAGCAUUAGGGAGCACUUGAGAAUGUGAUGCACUGUUCAGAAAAAACCAACACAGUUUUUCCUGGAACUAAUUUUUUUUUUCCAAAAAAUUCCACCAAGCUGUUAAAUGGAAAAUAGCUGCUAAGAGUUUGGACAUGCAAAUAUUUUCAGCUCUAUAACCAACCAAGCAAACUAUAGUGUCACCCUGAUGGGGGAACAGUGGGACAAAAGGCCACCUAAUGCCUGAACUGACUCCUCCCAGCUGUUGGUGAACUCCCAGAUUGCCCAAUCCAGUGGGAAAGCACUUUAUUUGGACCUAGCACACAGCACAGUGUCUUCAGUGAACAAGGUGCCAGUCCAGCGUCUGCAGGCAACAUGGCCAGAGUGGCUCUGAGCAAGUUCCUCCACUCCUCUGGGUGCCCAUUUCCUUGACUGU